rnacentral:rRNA from 1 species
UACGUAGGGUGCAAGCGUUAAUCGGAAUUACUGGGCGUAAAGCGUGCGCAGGCGGUUUUGUAAGUCUGAUGUGAAAUCCCCGGGCUCAACCUGGGAAUUGCAUUGGAGACUGCAAGGCUAGAAUCUGGCAGAGGGGGGUAGAAUUCCACGUGUAGCAGUGAAAUGCGUAGAGAUGUGGAGGAACACCGAUGGCGAAGGCAGCCCCCUGGGUCAAGAUUGACACUCAUGCACGAAAGCGUGGGGAGCAAACAGG